rnacentral:lncRNA from 1 species
GGGAAUUAUUAAAGUCUUUUUGACUUUUAAAAAAAUUAUAUUGCAGCCAACACUUUUCUUCAUUUUAAUUUUUUUUUUAAGAAGGUAAAAUGAAAUUUAUUUAAAACACUAAGAUUCUAGCAAGCACAAGGAAUGCUAGGUUAAGAGACUUAAAAAGCAACAUACAAAGGAAAAGUGUGCCGUAUAUAUGCGGAACACCCAUGUACAAAUACAAACUUCUACAAACAAACCAAAAACACCCUCCACUGAGGGCCCUCGAAACCAAUAAAAACUAAACACCAAACCAAGAGUCAUCACCAAAAACCAAAGUCUAAACGUCUUAAACAAGCCACACCGUCUAACAUUCAUGUAUUUGAAAACCUUAUCAACAACAAACUCAUAGAAGAAAACCUUCAAAAAGCAUAAUCACCACUAGCCACCACAAGCACCACUACCAACCCCAAAUCUACCAUUAACCACCACGAAAACCACCAUUAAUCCUCACCAAAAACCAGCACCAACCACCAUGAGCAUCACCACCAAAAAACAACAUCAGCCACCACGAGCAUCACCACCAAAAACCACCAUGAGCACCACCACAAAAGACCAAGUAUCAACACCACCAUAAAAACCACCAUGAAACACCACAAUCCAACAUAACAAAAAAAACAACGUACGACCUUCUCAACAUCAUCACCACAAACAAAACUCAUCGCCACAUAAAAAUAAAAUAAAAAUUAAUCUUAACACUUGUAAGUAACAAGACACUACCUUCCCCAUAACACAACAUCAUAGGUACUAAAAGAGUGCAAGCAACCAAAAAUGCCAAAACAAAAGGUAACCUACACAUAACAUGAUCCUCUGCCACACAUUGCUCCACCUAACAUGUUUUCCCUUAGACCUCUAAUUUCGUAAGUCCAUGCCUACAACCACAUUCAAGUAAUAUAUGGCUUAAACUCAACACUAACCCACACCUAAAAUUAUGCAGAAGCAGUAUGUCAAAAACCAUAGCAGCACCAAAUUGAACAACCAUUAAAUAAGCUUUACACAUUGAAUACACCAACAGAACACAAACAUGACAAAUUAAGACCAUCCUGCACUCCCUAAACCAAUGAAAGACAAACCUGCCACAAAAACGCAGCAACAUCACAAAAACUACGUUGAGAACCACCACAAAAAACUAGCAGCACCACCACCAUAAAACCCCUCCGAAAACCAUCACAAACCACCACAAAAAACGCAGCAAACUAACACCACCAUGAACGCGAGCGAUGGAUAAAACAACCGCUGAGAGAAACCGGUGGCCGAGUGAUGCGGACGGCCUAAGCCAAUCAUCGCACCACCAACGAUUGAAUCUACAUCGCGGCGGAUAUAGGUUGGAUUGGAAGGAAGGAGGGUGACGGUGGAGAUCUAGAGAGAGGUCAUAGAUGUUUUUACAGAGAGAAAUUUAGGGUUUGCUUAUGAUUCUUCACUUUAAUAUGUUGUACAAUCACACUUUUAAGUCACUCGAAAUGCCUGGAUGAUUAUUUUGAAUUUCUAAGUUAUGUAAUUUUAUUUUAUU